rnacentral:rRNA from 1 species
UACAGAGGUCUCAAGCGUUGUUCGGAUUCAUUGGGCGUAAAGGGUGUGUAGGUGGCGCCGUAAGUCGGGUGUGAAAUUCCGGAGCUUAACUCCGAAACUGCAUUCGAUACUGCGGUGCUUGAGGACUGGAGAGGAGACUGGAAUUUACGGUGUAGCAGUGAAAUGCGUAGAUAUCGUAAGGAAGACCAGUGGCGAAGGCGGGUCUCUGGACAGUUCCUGACACUGAGACACGAAGGCCAGGGGAGCAAACGGG